CAUCUGGUAUGGCAGCUGCAACUGGAGUUACCACCUAGUUAAACCUGUGAUAAUCCACUGUCAUUCUCCAAGAUUCACCUGUUUUUUGCACAGGCCAAAUAGGAGAGCAACAAGGAUGUAGUGGGAAUCAUCACCCCUGCAUAUUCCAAGUCCUCAGUGAUGGCACCUAUCUCUGCAAUCCCUCCAGGGAUGUGGUACUGCUUUUGAUUUACUAUUUUCCUAGGAACACCAUAAUGACCUCAUUAGUGCCACAGGUCUGCACAAGCCAGACUAUUCUGAUGGCUGCUUUGACUCUGCUGUCUAUUAUGGUUUUCCAACUGAGUGGCUGUGUUUCCCACUGUAAGAUCUAAUCAAAGUGAAGAGUGAUCAUGGAGCUCUCCAAGGAUGCUGGGGCUCCCCUCAUAAAUUUAUUUCUCAUAAUUUAUAAAAGUUACAUCUUCUGGAUACUCCCAGUGUGGGUCCUCAAUAGAUGUGUGAUACCUGCCCUCAUUGGUGAGGGCAAUCUUCUUUACUCCGUCUACUGAUUCCAAUGCUAAUGUCCUCUGAAAACACCCAGCAACAAUGUUUUAUCUGGUAUCUGAGCAUCCCUUAGCCCAGUCAAGUUGACACAUAAAAUUUACCAUGACAAGGACCAAGAGGUGUUUUCCCUCUGCCAAGGAUCAUGAUACCUGGAGUCCCUGAAUGACAGUUGUCUGGAACAACAAGCAAGAUCACUGACAGCCCCAGAACCACUUCCCUAGCUAUGAAAUUUUGUUAUAUCUGUAAGUAAGCAUAAAUAUUAACUAGUCAGUAAUGUUGAAUUUUGUUGAAUGUAUAAUUGGAGCUAGAUUUGGAGAAAACAUAUUCAACUCUAAUUUUGUUUCGACUAAAAUUUGACUGAUGAGUCUCUGCCUCUUUGUUUAAACCAUUCACUCUUCCUAUAGAACCCCGUGGCCCAUUGAAAUCCUCCCAUUUCCACCCAGCCAAGUUCUUAGACCUUUGAGUUCUCUUUUUUGUUAUUGUUCUUCAUCUCUUGGUGCAUGUGCUUUCUAAUAUUUUAAUUUUUUUCAAAAUACUACAUAUAUAUAGUUAUAAAAUUCAACUAAUAGCAUAAGACAUAAUAAAUUUAAAAAAAAAAAACAGCAGACUUCUGCCACACUACACCCAGAACUGCUGUGCUGGCAACUGCUGUCAAUUAUUUGUUUUUUCUCUUGAUACUUCCUUGAUAUUUAGAAAUGAUACAUUUGUUCUGCCCUUUCUUGAUUUUAGACAUUAGUCAUUGACUUCCUGCUAUGGAGAUAGAUAUUUGGCUGUCUUAUCCACUGUCCUCCACACUCUUUAGCCACUCAGCAACACACAGGCCUUUCUGCCCAUCCUGCCCGAGUAUGUUGUAACAUAGCUUUUUGCUAAACUGUAUUUAACAUUUAUGACAAUAAGUAUUCGCAUUUGAGCCAUGUAGAGUACAAUGAUUCAAUUUCCUUCCUAACAAUUCUUUGUUUUUCCUGUAGUUGAUAAUGUCUUUCACAGGGUGCUCUGGUCCUGCUGCCUCUAUUAAUCCCCAGUACAACAGAGUUGAGAGGUGGGAACUUUAAGAGCCCUCAUGAAUAGGUUAAUGCCAUUAUCUUGGGAGUGGGUUAGUUAUUGUGGGAGUGAGUUCCUAAUCAAAGGAUGGGUUCAGCCCCCUCCCCUCUCUCUCUGUCUCUCUCACACACACACACACACACACACACUCACUUUCUGAUCAUGUUAUGCCUUCCACUAUGUUAUGAUGCAGCAAAAAGGUCCUCACCAGAUGCAGCCCCUUGAUCUUGGACUUCCCAGUCUCCAGAACCACGAGACAAAUAAAAUUCUACUGUUUAUAAAUUACCCAAUCUGUGGGAUUCUGGCAUAGCAGCACAAAAUAGACUAAGACAUGUACCUUUCUGGAACCGUGUUAUUCAGGGGUUGGAGUUCCUGGGCUGAUUCUUUAAUGGCCUUAUCUUUUCUCUUUUAUUUUCAUCUGUUUGUCUUUAGUUCUACUUUCUGAGAGAGUUUCUCCAUUUGAUUUUACAACACUUCCAUUGAAUUUUAGAAGUUUUCUGCUUUUUAUGUAUGUAUUUAUUGUUACUAGGGCUCUUUCUUACUCUCUGACUUUUCAGUUUUUCUUAUUCUGGCACCCUGUUUCUGUUUUUAAGUGAAAAUCUUUUUAUAUGUCUCGAAGAAUAUUAAGUUUGAGGGAUUUUAUUUAAUUUUCUCCUGCUCCCUGUAUUAUCUCUUUUCUUCCAAGUUUCUUUUUUUCCCCUGAUUCAUUUGGUUUGGAGAUUGUCUUUCAUGUUAGAGGCUUUCCCCAAAUAUCUUGUGAUCCUGUCUGCCCACUUAUAUUUCCAAAUAAGUCGUUAACUACUUGAUUGGAAGCUUUGUGUGUAAUGGGUGAUAUUUGUCAAUCCUGUGAAUGAACUAGGAAAUGAGCUAAUCAAUUGAGAGUAAGAAAAAAGAAAGAGAAGCUCAAAGUUUCU